CCUACGGGAGGCAGCAGUGAGGAAUAUUGGUCAAUGGACGAGAGUCUGAACCAGCCAAGUAGCGUGAAGGAUGACUGCCCUAUGGGUUGUAAACUUCUUUUAUAAAGGAAUAAAACGAGGCACGUGUGCCUUUUUGCAUGUACUUUAUGAAUAAGGAUCGGUAACCUCGGUGCAGCAGGCGCCGUAAAUCGGAGGAACCGAACGUUAGUCGGAUUUUUUGGGGUUAAAGGGAUCGUAGAUGGGUUGUUAAGUUCGUUGUGAAGGUUUGCGGCUCAACCGUAAAAUUGCAAUUGAUACUGGCAGUCUUGAGUACAGUUGAGGUAGGCGGAAUUCGUGGUGUAGCGGUGAAAUGCUUAGAUAUCACGAAGAACCCCGAUUGCGAAGGCAGCUUACUAAACUGUGACUGACAUUGAUGCUCGAAAGUGUGGGUAUCAAACAGGAUUAGAUACCCGAGUAGUC
rnacentral:rRNA from 1 species